GAUGAACGCUGGCGGCGUGCUUAACACAUGCAAGUCGAACGAUGAAGCCCAGCUUGCUGGGUGGAUUAGUGGCGAACGGGUGAGUAGCACGUGAGUAACCUGCCCUUAACUCUGGGAUAAGCCUGGGAAACUGGGUCUAAUACCGGAUAGGAGCGUCCACCGCAUGGUGGGUGUUGGAAAGAUUUAUCGGUUUUGGAUGGACUCGCGGCCUAUCAGCUUGUUGGUGAGGUAAUGGCUCACCAAGGCGACGACGGGUAGCCGGCCUGAGAGGGUGACCGGCCACACUGGGACUGAGACACGGCCCAGACUCCUACGGGAGGCAGCAGUGGGGAAUAUUGCACAAUGGGCGCAAGCCUGAUGCAGCGACGCCGCGUGAGGGAUGACGGCCUUCGGGUUGUAAACCUCUUUCAGUAGGGAAGAAGCGAAAGUGACGGUACCUGCAGAAGAAGCACCGGCUAACUACGUG
rnacentral:rRNA from 1 species